rnacentral:ncRNA from 1 species
AAAUUAAUUGCAUUAUAAUGUGUUUGUUUUUCUUGUUUUAAUAUAAAGAAAGCAAAUUAAAAUCGUCUAGCACUACUGCUAAAUACCCUACACUUGGGGUUAGCCCCCCACCUAUUCUCAAACUUUAAAUGGGUAAGAACCUCACCUUUCUUGGUAUGAAGGUUGUGGUUGUGAUAUAAUGUGCCCAGUGGGCCACUUUUGGUAAGCAGAACUGGCGCUGUGGGAUGAACCAAACGUAAUGUUACGGUGCCCAAAUUAACAACUCAUGCAGAUACCAUGAAAGGCGUUGGUUGCUUAAAACAGCAGGACGGUGGACAUGGAAGUCGCAAUCCGCUAAGGAGUGUGUAACAACUUGGGGUUAGCCCCAUUGUAUCCAAAUGACCCAAUCUGAUUAGAUUUCGAAGAGUGUUCAUCAUCUCAUCAUUUUAUGUUUAUCUUAAAAAUUA